GAUGAACGCUGGCGGCGUGCCUAAUACAUGCAAGUCGAGCGAACGGACGAGAAGCUUGCUUUUCUGAUGUUAGCGGCGGACGGGUGAGUAACACGUGGAUAACCUACCUAUAAGACUGGGAUAACUUCGGGAAACCGGAGCUAAUACCGGAUAAUAUUUUGAACCGCAUGGUUCAAAAGUGAAAGACGGUCCUGCUGUCACUUAUAGAUGGAUCCGCGCUGCAUUAGCUAGUUGGUAAGGUAACGGCUUACCAAGGCAACGAUGCAUAGCCGACCUGAGAGGGUGAUCGGCCACACUGGGACUGAGACACGGUCCAGACUCCUACGGGAGGCAGCAGUAGGGAAUCUUCCGCAAUGGGCGAAAGCCUGACGGAGCAACGCCGCGUGAGUGAUGAAGGUCUUCGGAUCGUAAAACUCUGUUAUUAGGGAAGAACAUAUGUGUAAGUAACUGUGCACAUCUUGACGGUACCUAAUCAGAAAGCCACGGCUAACUACGUG
rnacentral:rRNA from 1 species